rnacentral:rRNA from 1 species
AGGGAUUGCCUUAGUAACGGCGAGUGAAGCGGCAACAGCUCAAAUUUGAAAGCUGGCCCUUUCAGGGUCCGCGUUGUAAUUUGUAGAGGAUGAUUCGGCGAGGGCUCCCGCCUAAGUCCCCUGGAACGGGGCGUCAUAGAGGGUGAGAAUCCCGUAUGCGGUGGGUUGCCUUAGCCAUGUGAAUCUCCUUCGACGAGUCGAGUUGUUUGGGAAUGCAGCUCUAAAUGGGAGGUAAAUUUCUUCUAAAGCUAAAUACCGGCCAGAGACCGAUAGCGCACAAGUAGAGUGAUCGAAAGAUGAAAAGCACUUUGGAAAGAGAGUUAAAAAGUACGUGAAAUUGUUGAAAGGGAAGCGCUUGCAACCAGACUUGUCCGCAGUUGCUCAGCCGGUCUCCUGACCGGCGUACUCUUCUGCGGCCAGGCCAGCAUCAGUUCGGGCGGUCGGAUAAAGGCCUCGGGAAUGUGGCUCCUCUCGGGGAGUGUUAUAGCCCGGGGUGGAAUGCGGCCAGCCUGGACUGAGGAUCUCGCUUCGGCAAGGAUGCUGGCGUAAUGGUUGUAAGCGGCCCGUCUUGAAACACGGACCAAGGAGUCUAACAUCUAUGCGAGUGUUUGGGUGUCAAACCCAUACGCGUAAUGAAAGUGAACGGAGGUGGGAACCCGCAAGGGCGCACCAUCGGCCGAUCCUGAUGUCUUCGGAUGGAUUUGAGCAAGAGCAUAGCUGUUGGGACCCGAAAGAUGGUGAACUAUGCCUGAAUAGGGUGAAGCCAGAGGAAACUCUGGUGGAGGCUCGCAGCGGUUCUGACGUGCAAAUCGAUCGUCAAAUUUGGG